rnacentral:tRNA from 1 species
AGUAGAAUGGCUGAGGUUGAAAAUAGGCGAUAGAUUGUAAAUCUAUUAAGGAGAUAUUUAUUAUUCUCUUUUACUA